rnacentral:tRNA from 1 species
GGAUUAGCUCAGUUGGUUAGAGUGCCAGGUUGUGGCCCUGGAGGUCAUGGGUUCGAAUCCCAUAUUC